UUUUAUGGAGAGUUUGAUCCUGGCUCAGGAUAAACGCUGGCGGCGUGCCUAAUACAUGCAAGUCGAGCGAACGGACGAGAAGCUUGCUUCUCUGAUGUUAGCGGCGGACGGGUGAGUAACACGUGGAUAACCUACCUAUAAGACUGGGAUAACUUCGGGAAACCGGAGCUAAUACCGGAUAAUAUUUUGAACCGCAUGGUUCAAAAGUGAAAGACGGUCUUGCUGUCACUUAUAGAUGGAUCCGCGCUGCAUUAGCUAGUUGGUAAGGUAACGGCUUACCAAGGCAACGAUGCAUAGCCGACCUGAGAGGGUGAUCGGCCACACUGGAACUGAGACACGGUCCAGACUCCUACGGGAGGCAGCAGUAGGGAAUCUUCCGCAAUGGGCGAAAGCCUGACGGAGCAACGCCGCGUGAGUGAUGAAGGUCUUCGGAUCGUAAAACUCUGUUAUUAGGGAAGAACAUAUGUGUAAGUAACUGUGCACAUCUUGACGGUACCUAAUCAGAAAGCCACGGCUAACUACGUGCCAGCAGCCGCGGUAAUACGUAGGUGGCAAGCGUUAUCCGGAAUUAUUGGGCGUAAAGCGCGCGUAGGCGGUUUUUUAAGUCUGAUGUGAAAGCCCACGGCUCAACCGUGGAGGGUCAUUGGAAACUGGAAAACUUGAGUGCAGAAGAGGAAAGUGGAAUUCCAUGUGUAGCGGUGAAAUGCGCAGAGAUAUGGAGGAACACCAGUGGCGAAGGCGACUUUCUGGUCUGUAACUGACGCUGAUGUGCGAAAGCGUGGGGAUCAAACAGGAUUAGAUACCCUGGUAGUCCACGCCGUAAACGAUGAGUGCUAAGUGUUAGGGGGUUUCCGCCCCUUAGUGCUGCAGCUAACGCAUUAAGCACUCCGCCUGGGGAGUACGACCGCAAGGUUGAAACUCAAAGGAAUUGACGGGGACCCGCACAAGCGGUGGAGCAUGUGGUUUAAUUCGAAGCAACGCGAAGAACCUUACCAAAUCUUGACAUCCUUUGACAACUCUAGAGAUAGAGCCUUCCCCUUCGGGGGACAAAGUGACAGGUGGUGCAUGGUUGUCGUCAGCUCGUGUCGUGAGAUGUUGGGUUAAGUCCCGCAACGAGCGCAACCCUUAAGCUUAGUUGCCAUCAUUAAGUUGGGCACUCUAAGUUGACUGCCGGUGACAAACCGGAGGAAGGUGGGGAUGACGUCAAAUCAUCAUGCCCCUUAUGAUUUGGGCUACACACGUGCUACAAUGGACAAUACAAAGGGCAGCGAAACCGCGAGGUCAAGCAAAUCCCAUAAAGUUGUUCUCAGUUCGGAUUGUAGUCUGCAACUCGACUACAUGAAGCUGGAAUCGCUAGUAAUCGUAGAUCAGCAUGCUACGGUGAAUACGUUCCCGGGUCUUGUACACACCGCCCGUCACACCACGAGAGUUUGUAACACCCGAAGCCGGUGGAGUAACCUUUUAGGAGCUAGCCGUCGAAGGUGGGACAAAUGAUUGGGGUGAAGUCGUAACAAGGUAGCCGUAUCGGAAGG
rnacentral:rRNA from 1 species